rnacentral:rRNA from 1 species
CGCGUAGGCGGCCUUGUAAGUCGGAUGUGAAAGCCCCGGGCUUAACCUGGGAAUUGCAUUCGAUACUGCAGGGCUAGAGUAUGGGAGAGGGAAGUGGAAUUUCCGGUGUAGCGGUGAAAUGCGUAGAUAUCGGAAGGAACACCAGUGGCGAAGGCGACUUCCUGGCCCAAUACUGACGCUGAGGUGCGAAAGCGUGGGGAGCAAACA